GGCAGUACUUAGUUCUGCUUUCCUGCCUUUUUUUGCAUUUUAUUGUUUCCUUAGGAUAGAAGUGAACAUUUUGAAAAAGUCAAACAUGUACAAAACACUUCUUUUCAUCCCUGGUCCAAAGCACCCACUUGUCCCCUGUAUACUUAACCUUUGCUCAGAAACAGGUAGGAAUGUAGAGGAAGCAUUAUUUCCUGAAUUAAGAGGGGACCAUGUGAGGUGGAGUAAACUUGAGAACUUUGGAGCCAUUUUUGAAGGACAUUUUUGGAGAGACCAAACCCUCGAGAUGCUUCUGUUACCCUGUGAGCAGGGAGACAGGAUGGAGCUCUAAGACAGGCAAGAGUAAGUGAGGAUGUGAAGUCGCAGAGAGGCUCGGAGGCAGAGAGAGACGUCAUUUCACAGGAAGGCCCUGGACGUCUCCAGUCCAGCGGACCCAGGAGACCCCGGCCUGUGCGGCUACACUGUCCGUCCUCAUGCUUGGUGGUGAGCCCCUGAUCCUGUUGAGGUGGGACACGCAGCACCUACCGACUCCCAGUUCUGCAGAAAGUCCGCUCAGUCAUGCACAGUGGUGACCGCGCCUCAAGCUUCUCUGACAUCUUAACGGAUAACACCCCCGGGGCAUUUAUGUAUUGUUUCUUUCGGUCUUUCUAUAUAAGAAGCACCUUGUCCAGUAGCUCACUUCAUCACUCAACAUCCUCAAGAGUUAUCCGACCACUUCCCACACAAGAGUGGGGUUCGCAAGGGGUGAUGCUUUGCCAUAGUCCCAGCUGGGAAGGGGCCGACCCUGGACUUUGCGAGCCUUGUGGUUAGUUUGUAGGUUUAACUGACCUUGGAGGGAGAGCAGUUUCCUUACGAAGCCCCAAGCAAAACGUGUAUCAUUGCUGACCUGGGAGUCAGAAUUAAGCUCCUGUUCUGCAGCGUCCAAUUCAUCCAAUUAUUUCUCACCACGCCUCAGGUGAUCUUGUUCACACCGAAGUUACUGUAUAUUCAGAGUGCGUGUUUCUGUGAUGCAUCUGAAAGGCAUGUGCCAAAGCAGCUCCGAGGCCCAUGUGACUGCACCUCCAACACGAUCUGAGCUUUGGGUACACACAGCUGCUUUCCACGGUGCCGACAGCCACCACCACCGCCGCCGGAGCUUGUUGGGGAUGGCCCAAGCCAAGCCAGAGUGCCCACCAGGUUUUUAGGAAUCCGUGACCUUCCAGGAGGUGGCGGUGGACCUCACCCGAGAAAAGUGGGUCCAGCCAGCCACAUCCCAGAGGAAGCUGUACAGAGGUAUGACGCUAGACCACAUCGGUCAUUAGGUCCACGCGUGAGUCUGUCAACAUUUACUUAUUUGACAAAAAGCUCUUCAGAGCAGCUUUCACUUUGCCCUCUACCCUGCCUCUUACACACUCACGGGCCAUUUACAGCUCCCUGAAGAGAGUCUGCUUCUGUACUCACUUCUGUCUACUUGGUCCUUGCGUGAGGACGUAGAGACCUGACCACAAUAUCUUUCUUGCUGCUCUGUCUCUCUCAGGCAGAGUGGUGCUGAGCACUCCCUGCAUGCAUCUGGCCGGGAAGUGAAGAGGUGUGCUCCAGAGUCUCGAAGCAGCUUUUCUGCACCGCAGCCACAGUGGAUGGGGCACCACGGCAGGAGGCCUGGUAAACACUGUCCCUCUGAAACAGAGUGUUGGGGUCCUGACUGAGCACCAGCACACACCCGCCGAAUGUCUCUAGCCCAGGAGAGGUGUUCCUCCAGCUUGGAGGAAGGAACCUCCGGACUUCCAGGGUUGAACAUGUUCUUCCCGCGCUCAAACGUCCACCUUGUUCCUCCUCCUGCCCUGAAGUGGAAGAUCAUGCACAGGUCUC
rnacentral:lncRNA from 1 species